UGGGGAAUAUUGGACAAUGGGCGAAAGCCUGAUCCAGCAAUGCCGCGUGGAUGAAGAAGGUCUUCGGAUUGUAAAGUCCUUUCGACGGGGACGAUGAUGACGGUACCCGUAGAAGAAGCCCCGGCUAACUUCGUGCCAGCAGCCGCGGUAAUACGAAGGGGGCUAGCGUUGCUCGGAAUGACUGGGCGUAAAGGGCGCGUAGGCGGUUUGAUUAGUUAGGCGUGAAAUUCCUGGGCUCAACCUGGGGGCUGCGCUUAAUACAGUCAGACUGGAGUGUGAGAGAGGGUUGUGGAAUUUCCAGUGUAGAGGUGAAAUUCGUAGAUAUUGGAAAGAACACCGGUGGCGAAGGCGGCAACCUGGCUCAUUACUGACGCUGAGGCGCGAAAGCGUGGGGAGCAAACAGG
rnacentral:rRNA from 1 species